rnacentral:piRNA from 1 species
UGGAAAUUUGAUGUUCAAGACAGAAGACUGG